UUCUUAUGAAAGUAGUACUUUUCAUCAACAGUAGUUCACUUAAUGAAUGUUGGUGCUUUGGGUCUGAGUGA
ensembl:snoRNA